CUCUGCUUGUAGUAAUUCAGUCACUGAGCACUCGGCUCGACUUUUUAGUGUCACGGUGCCACUGGGAAGGAACUGCCGCGCGUCAGGGACACGACCAGCCGCCAUCCAUCCCCUCGGUUCACAGCGACAAGCCGCCGCGGGCGAUGACACUGGCGCACUGAUCCGGGAAUACACAACGAAGACGCAAAAAUGACGGUGGAUUUUGAAGAAUGCAUCAAGGAUUCGCCCCGGUUCAGGGCCGGCAUUGAUGAUGUGGAGACAGACGUGGUGGAGAUCGAGGCAAAGCUGGACAAGCUGGUGAAGUUAUGCAGCGGGAUGAUCGAGGCCGGGAGGGCCUACGUCAGCGCCAACAAGCUUUUUGUGAACGGCAUCAAGGACCUGUCCCAGCAAUGCAAGAAAGAAGAGAUGGUAUCGGACUGCCUUGAAAAGUGUGGCGAAAGCCUCCAGGAGAUCGUCAACUACCAUAUGAUUUUAUUCGAUCAAGCUCAGCGGUCAAUCAAGCAGCAGCUUCACGCUUUCAUUAAAGAUGACGUGCGCAAGUUCAAGGAUACCAAGAAGCAGUUUGAUCGCGUUCGAGAGGACAUGGAGCUGGCUCAGGUGAAGAACGCCCAAGCCCCCAGGAACAAGGUCCAUGAAGCGGAGGAGGCCACGCAAGCUCUCGUCCUCAGCCGUAAAGCCUUCAGGCACCUCGCCCUGGACUACGUACUACAGAUUAAUGUGCUUCAGGCCAGGAAGAAGUUUGAAAUCCUGGAUGCGAUGCUGUCCUUCAUGCGUGCCCAGUAUACUCUUUUCCAACAAGGCUUCAACAUUCUGGAUGAGAUUGACCCCUACAUGAAAAAGCUGGCUGCCCAGCUGGAUCAGCUCGUCAUCGACUCAGCGGUGGAGAAGAGGGAGUUGGAGCAUAAACAUGCGCUCAUCCAGCAAAGGACUCUGAUGCAGGACUUUUCCUACGAUGACCCCAAAUUGGAGUUCAAUGUGGAUGCCCCCAAUGGUGUCGUCAUGGAGGGCUACCUCUUCAAGAGAGCCAGCAAUGCUUUUAAGACCUGGAACAGGCGAUGGUUUUCCAUACAGAACAGCCAGCUGGUCUACCAAAAGAAGCUUAAGGACUCGUUGACGGUGGUAGUGGAGGACCUGAGGCUGUGCUCCGUCAAACCGUGUGAAGAUAACGAGAGGAGGUUCUGUUUUGAGGUGGUUUCACCCACCAAAAGCUGCAUGCUACAGGCUGAGUCCGAAAAACUGAGGCAGGCUUGGAUCCAAGCGGUUCAAGCAAGCAUUGCCUCAGCUUAUAAAGACAUCGCUGACAACUAUUACAUUGAGCGCCUGGAUCGCACAGCCUCACCUUCCACUAGCAGCAUCGACUCAGCCAGCGAGCCCAGGGACAGGGGGGAGAGGGCGGAUAAGGCAGUUCGGGGAGGUGGUGAAGGCCUCCUCCAGAGGGUGCAGAACUUGCCGGGCAAUGAAUUGUGCUGUGACUGCGGCCAGAGUGCUCCCUGCUGGGCCUCCAUCAACCUCGGAGUGCUGCUGUGCAUCGAGUGCUCCGGGAUCCACAGGAGUCUCGGCGUCCAUUGCUCUAAAGUACGAUCACUGACUCUUGACUCGUGGGAACCAGAACUACUCAAGCUGAUGUGUGAAUUAGGCAACACUGUGAUCAAUCAAAUUUAUGAGGGAGCCUCUGAAGAACUCGGGGUAAAAAAGCCCGCACCAUCCAGUACAAGACAAGAGAAAGAAGCCUGGAUUAAGUCCAAAUAUGUGGAGAAACGCUUCCUAAAGAAGAUGAGCGGGAGCGAGGCGUUGGUGGAAGGUGAAAGGAAGUCCCGACCGUGGACGGUGAAGAAGUGCCACCGACACAACAGCUCGGUCCGGGCACCUAAAAAAGUCCGCAGGAAAUAUCACCGCUACGAGCCUGGCAGUGCCUCACCUGCCAAUCUCUCAGCAGCAGCGGCAGCCAAGUUUCGCCGGGAUUCCCUGUUCUGUCCGGAUGAGCUGGACUCCCUCUUCUCCUACUUUGACACGGGCUCGGGUCCUCGCAGCCCCGCAGGCCUGAGUAGCGACAGCGGCCUGGGAGGAAGCACUGACGGCAGCACCGACAUCCUGGUGUUUGGUUCUGUGGUGGACAGCGUCACCGAAGAAGACGAGGAAUCAGAAGAGUCCUCUAGUGGCGAGGUCGAAAUUGAACAGGAAGUACCAUCAGACCCUGAGGAUCCCAGGGAGAUCCAUCCCGGGGCGCUGCUCCAUCGCUCGUCCCGUCUGCACAAUUUGCCACUCAUGGCGGAGGCGCUGGCUCACGGCGCCGACGUUCACGCUCCAAGUGAGGAGGAGGAUGGGAAAACGCCACUCAUACAGGCCGUAAUGGGGGGCUCUCUGAUAGCUUGUGAGUUCCUGCUUCAGAAUGGAGCUGAUGUCAACCAGAGGGACAUGAGGGGGAGAGGCCCAUUGCAUCACGCCACCUACCUGGGACACACUGGCCAGGUGUGUCUGUUUCUGAAGAGAGGUGCGUCGCAGACAGAGGUGGACGAGCAGGGCUACGACCCGCUCAGCAUCGCUGUGCAGGCCGCCAAUGCAGACAUCGUCACCCUCCUGCGUUUGGCACGGAUGAACGAGGAGAUGCGAGAGGCAGAAGCCCCCCUGGGACAACCAGGUCAAUACCCCAGCACCAGCCCCACUGAACAGCAGUACAGGAAGUGCAUCCAAGAGUUCAUCUGCCUCACCAUAGAGGAGUUCUAGCCUCUCUAGAUAUAGAGUUCUCCUCUAGACACUGAUGUCAGCUAGAUUGAGGCUCACGAGCAACACAAACCCCCUGAAGGACCUUUUCUAACUCUUACUGGCUAAACUGCCCUCAUGCACCUCUGAUUUUCUGCUAGUUUCUGCUCACCAUUCCACCCUAGCCACAUCACACCAAGUCAAAUGACAUCUGCUUGUUGGUGUUCUGCUAACAUCCUCUCACGCUGCCGUUUAACCUCUCAUGGUCGCGGCAUUAACCCAGAGCGAACCAUUUCUCCUCAGCUUGAGGUGUAAAUAGUCUCAUUUAUAAGCGAUUCACCGUGUGUGAUGUGGCAUGAGGCCAUUAACAUUCAUGAAAGAACAAAAUACGUAUAAAGCGGUGUCAGGGAGGGAUGUAAGAGUAAAACUGUGACAAAAAGAGGAGAAGAAAGCCUCGUCUGCUUUGUAGAGUGAGGACUGAAACUAACAUUAUAAUACAUUUCUGUAAAAGAAAAAAAAACUCUCGCGAAAAUGAAGUAAGGAUUUUUCAUGUCAACCAGUUCCUCAUAAUUUGAUUUUGUCAGCCAAGCCCUGUCGUUGUUCAAACUUAAUUUUGGGGUUGUUUAGCUGACAAAAUACAAAAGAGAGUAAUGCGCCGUCUCUUCCUGCUGCUACCAACACUAUCACAUUUUCAAUUAUAGAAAUCAUCAAUACUAUACAACAGAAACAAAUGACAUAAAGGCAGAGGCCUUACUAACCAAUACUACUAUGGCGGACAUUUUGUAGAUUAUUAUAGCUGUUUGCAAUGGUCAAGAGUGCUAAUGAUAAUGAAAUGACAGGAGGUGAUGUUACAGUAUAGCCAGGCUCAGUUUCUGCAGAUAUGUAUUUCCUAUUGCUAACUGAACAUUUCAUUCAGUUGCCAUAGAGACAUACUGCUAAAAACUGUGCCAGAGGUUUUUCUUUUGGAUGAUAUGAUGAUUGAAUUUUCAUUAUUUAUUACGCAGGACUAUAAUCAUUCAAAAUUAAUAUUGGCUUCCCCAGCCAUUCGCUGGGGAUGAUGAAUCGCAAAAAACAGUAAUAGACCGAAAAGGUCAAUACUCUAAUUGCCGUUGGUUGCCACAAGAUAGCAGAAAAGCAUUUUUGUCUAGUAAAGCUCCUCCUCGAACGUCAACAUAGUUCCUCGGUGACAACUGCAAAAAUGUCGCAGGAUAAUGCCAAUACAAUAUUUUUCUAUUUGAAAACGCAACAAUACUGAAUCAAGAAAAUAAUUUGUGACGAGCUACAGGAAGAGACGUUACAGAGAGGCUGUUGACGUUGUCAAGAAUAGUCAAUGCUUCAUUUUAUUGAGUGCUAAUACUGUGCACUUUUCCUAUUUUCAGUAUUAUAAUUUGAUUAUGUCAUAGUGUGUUUUCAGGUAAUCUUUCUUUUCUCAAGUUAUCGUCUGUUCUCUGCCUGUCUGUCUAUUUUAUUUGUCUUCCCAGAGGAGCCGUGCAAUGCAUUCACUGAUGCAGUUUAUUAUAUUCUGUUAAUGAUUGUCUUGAAAUAUUACUCUGAGACAAAAAUGUUUUUGAUGGUAUCUCGAUGAUAGCAGUCGUAGAACCCCAAUUUCUUCACGUUUUCGGAAUGUGGAAAGGCCUUACGUCACGUUUGAUGAUCCAAUAAUCAGCAUUCAGCACUGAGAGAUUUUCUGAGUUUAUGGAAAGAAAUGUAUUUAGUUGACGGACUUUCAUUCAUUGUUGCAUUUUAUGGUGAGGAGGAGGAGGUGAUAAACCCAUAAAACGUGAGCUCAGUGGUCGGACGUAGCAGUUCGGAAGAAUUUCGACUUCCAUGGAAAGCGAAUGUGCUGCUCACUGCCCUUUAGUGAAGAACAAAACAACUUCAUGGCUAUAUAACCACACCUGCAUUUACUAUACUUGUAAAUACGCUUCCAUGUUACAAUAUCUGUAUCAGUGAGAUUAUGGAGCACAUUUUCCGGACAUGUUUACACACUUUGUUAGGCUCCGAUGCCGAAUAGCCGACAGUGUUCUCUGCAUGCUUUGUGGGCGAGUCAAGACGAUUGCCGCUCCUAGCAUGCUGUGAUAUUUUUCUACCGUUUUGAUCACAUUGUGCAGUGCAGUCCUGUGGAAUAAGCAUGUACCAACGUGACCUCUCUAAUGUCACAGUCAAAAUCCUUUCCACGAGCAGUAAUUUCAUAUUUUUUGUGCUUUUAGUUUCCUCUGCCAAAGACUUUUGAAGGGAAAGUGUCCGACCUUGUAUUAUAUCACAGGUUUGUUUUUGUUUGGUUUUUCUUCAACGUGAAACAAUUUCUGAGUAGAUGCAGCUUAAGUGCUACGAUGCUUUGUGAAGUGACAAGAGUGGUAGAAACACUGUUGGUAUGCUCACAUGAUUCAAAACAGAACUGAGAUUCGCACAUGGCAAUAGUUACAGACUGCAAGUAGUACAAGUUUAGGGGCGAGUGCGAGCGACGCCCUCGAGGAAGUGUUCAGUGUCGUGUCCAUUGUGUGUGUUGACAUAGGAGUGGUAAAAAAAAAAGGGCUGUAAAUAGUACACUCGUGUAAUUCAACUCCAUGCUUGCCUCUCAGAGGGUCCAUAGCGGGUCGUGACGCUCGGAUCCGUUUCAUGUUUGUCUUUUGAUUCUCUUUCCAAAAACACCCAACAGUCUUGGAAAUUGUUAUUUCAUGUCUUUAGACACACUGAGGUGAACAAAAAAAAAAGAAAAAGAAGAGGAAUACAAUAAAAGUGACAUCUCCCGUGGUGAAGUCUUUCGCGAGUUUUCUCUUCUCGCAUCUCUCCAGCCCGAGAAGCUGAGGAGGAGAAGUCUCCAGUUCAGCCGCUGCGAGAAACCUUAAGGGAACUUUUCACCGCCUCAUCAUCAUCUUACAGUCUGGAAGCCAGCGCUUAGUAUAUACUCAAGAUGGGUGUAGGUCAAAACGUGACUUCUGUGCAUUUAUCCAAAUGGCUGACCUAUUUCUAUUCAGAUGUUUGGAUAUCAGAAGGAUCGUUAAAGGCAAACAUGGGAAACAAUAGGACUAUUGCAGCUUUCAUAUUAAAAUGUCAGUCAAACUUUUCCAAGGAAGUCAAAUAUUUGUUGCCAUAAUAAAUGACCAUUCAAUGAAACACCACA